rnacentral:tRNA from 1 species
AGUUUUAUAGUCAAUAAUGACAUUAGAAUGCAAUUCUAAAGGAAUAAUAAAUAAAUUAUUAAGGCUU